UCGAGAAUCUUCCGCAAUGCACGAAAGUGUGACGGAGCGACGCCGCGUGAUGGAUGAAGUAUUUCGGUAUGUAAACAUCUUUUAUACGUGAAGAAGCAUAUUGACAUUAGCGUAUGAAUAAGGGGUUCCUAAACUCGUGCCAGCAGGAGCGGUAAUACGAGUACCCCGAGCGUUAUCCGGAAUUAUUGGGCGUAAAGGGUCCGUAGGUGGCCAUAUUAGUCUUUUGUCAAAGACCCGUGCUCAACACGGG
rnacentral:rRNA from 1 species